rnacentral:rRNA from 1 species
UACGUAGGGUGCAAGCGUUAAUCGGAAUUACUGGGCGUAAAGCGUGCGCAGGCGGUUUUGUAAGUCUGACGUGAAAUCCCCGGGCUCAACCUGGGAAUUGCGUUGGAGACUGCAAGGCUAGAAUCUGGCAGAGGGGGGUAGAAUUCCACGUGUAGCAGUGAAAUGCGUAGAGAUGUGGAGGAACACCGAUGGCGAAGGCAGCCCCCUGGGUCAAGAUUGACACUCAUGCACGAAAGCGUGGGGAGCAAACAGG